GUGGCCGAGUGGUUAAGUUCUCUCGUUCCGCUUCGGAGCGCCGGUUCAGAUCCUGGGCGCAGACAUGGCACCACUCAUCAGGCCAUCCUGUGGAGUCAUCCCACAUGCCACAACUAGAAGGACCCACAACUAAAAUAUACAAAUCAUCUCAAUAUGGUGAGAGAGCAGCUCAUUUACUCCUCUGACUUCGGUGGAACUGGAGUUGUGACAGUGGGGACUGCGAUAAUGCACACUCCCUGAACAACUGGGAGGAUGAGAAAAUGAUUUCAUUAGGAAGAAGAUUCCAAAUUGGAGGGUUAUAUUCAUUGACCUACAUAUCUGCUAAUCUGUGUAAUGGUUUAUGCAGGAAAUUGCAAUUGAAGAAAGAUCUUACAUCAUACCAAGAGCGGAGGUUCCAGAGACGUGAUUUUCAAUUUAUCAAGAUGGGCAAUGGAUACUUUCAGUGUUCCUUGAGUAACAGAAAUGGCUUUUUUAUUGGGGCAGAAGUUUGUUCAGUAGGGGCAGAAGUCUUUUGGGUGGAAUUGCAGAGAAGUGCCAUGCUCCUGUCCCUUGGAGGAAGGAAAGAAGACAUAAUACUAAGUCAAGUGAAGAUGUUAUACUAAGUCUGGAGUUUUGAUAUCUUGAGCUGGACAUUCUUAUUAUUGCAUUAGUCACUGCAUUAGCGUAAAGUAACCAGAUUUCACCUAUUACCCGAGAAUCAGCAGUGAUGCCUUGCAACAGACAGAGUGUUUGUCCUGAGGCAAAGGAGGGUUAUAUCCACUAAAUGUAAUUAAAGGGGACCUGGGAGACAAAAAUAAAGUUAUAUAAUGUUUG
rnacentral:lncRNA from 1 species